GAUCCUCAAAUAACACUGGAAUAUCUAAUGUCUCUCCUUAUUCUUUAAACCUGUGUACCAGUUACCACAAAGCAUACAAAUUGCUGUGAGGUUUAACUUGCCAAAGGGUAAUAUGUUUGUGUGAAGAAAGUAUAGGAACUAGACCUAGUCACUUGUGAUGUUCCAGUGGGGGUGGGCACAUGCCCUUUGUGACAAAGAUGAUGCUCAACAUUUAGCCUUCCUGCCCACCAUCCACUGAAACUCCUUUUCUGCCCUAUAAAAGCUUUUUCUGUGUAACUGAGUUCAUCAAAGAUGGUGUUUCAAAGGCCUUUGAUGAAGAAUUAAAAACUCUACUCAGGACCUCAGAGACACUGAGCGGUGUCUGCCAAUAGGUGUCCUGGAGUUGUUCAUCAAUUACAAAUGAUACUGAGGAAUGGACUGAGGAACAAAAGAGUUGUCAGAAUCUAUAAAUAUCAUCAUAGUCUUGACACAGGGAAUAGGAAGACUCCGGAGGAAGAAAUGCAUUCAUUCCUUGCUGCCUGGAGUGCUUAGAGAGAAGGUUCAGUCAUGUUUGAGUUUCCCAGUCAUUACUGGAUAUGUGCUUCCUAUGUCUUCCUUUUCUGUUCACCACGUGCUGUGGAGGCUGCUCUCUAAUGUGCUGCCCUUUGUCACUUGGUCACUCCGUGUGAAGCCAUCUAUGUUAUUUGUUCUUUGCUCUUGGCUGCAUCUAAAUAACCAUGUACAAAAGAGGAAAAUCACAACUUUUGCAUAAUUCGAAAAUUGUAUUUUAA
rnacentral:lncRNA from 1 species